ensembl:ncRNA W06B3.3 ncRNA
UUGACACUUUCAAGUGGCAGGACACCUUUCCGUUUUAACCUUUGUCAUCAAUCU